CUGAGUGAGGGCUCACGCCCGACCUCCAACCCUUUGUGAACCAAACUUGUUGCUUCGGGGGCGACCCUGCCGACGACUUCGUCGCCGGGCGCCCCCGGAGGUCUUCUAAACACUGCAUCUUUGCGUCGGAGUUUAAACAAAUUAAACA
rnacentral:misc_RNA from 2 species